AACGAACGCUGGCGGCAGGCUUAACACAUGCAAGUCGAGCGCCCCGCAAGGGGAGCGGCAGACGGGUGAGUAACGCGUGGGAAUCUACCCAUCUCUACGGAAUAACGCAUGGAAACGUGUGCUAAUACCGUAUACGUCCUUCGGGAGAAAGAUUUAUCGGAGAUGGAUGAGCCCGCGUUGGAUUAGCUAGUUGGGGGGGUAAAGGCCUACCAAGGCGACGAUCCAUAGCUGGUCUGAGAGGAUGAUCAGCCACACUGGGACUGAGACACGGCCCAGACUCCUACGGGAGGCAGCAGUGGGGAAUAUUGGACAAUGGGCGCAAGCCUGAUCCAGCCAUGCCGCGUGAGUGAUGAAGGCCCUAGGGUUGUAAAGCUCUUUCACCGGUGAAGAUAAUGACGGUAACCGGAGAGGAAGCCCCGGCUAACUUCGUGCCAGCAGCCGCAGUAAAAC
rnacentral:rRNA from 1 species